CUAUGCCGAUGAGUCCCAAAUAGGACGAAAUGCGCGUCCUCUAU
rnacentral:hammerhead_ribozyme from 1 species